rnacentral:lncRNA from 1 species
GGUUCCUCAUCUGCCAGUUGGCAGACGCUCAGCAAAUCUUCCUAGACUCACGGGGCGAAUUGUACAGUUGGGUAAAUCGAGGCCCAGAGAUGGCAAAAGGACCGUCCAAGGUCGUACAGCCACCCGGAAUUACAAUUCUUUUCUGCCGGGUCACACGCUGUCAUCCACGUGUUACCUAAGAGAGCUUUCCAGCCUGUGCUAAGAAAACUGCCCCACAUCAUCUGCAGUAGGACGGGGGAGUUGGAGCCCUGGUCAGGCCACUCUGCUACUGACCACAGUUUUCUCAUCUCUAAAAAGGCGCAGUAACAAUAUAAUUACCGUAUGCAGUCCCCCAGGAUACAGGGUCAAAGGAGAGCACAACCAUCGCAGUUGGAAGCCCAUGGGGCAGACCCAGACUUCACCCUCAGGUCACCCUCACCUGGACUUUGGGGUGCCCCACACCCCGCCCCAGGCCCUGGCCUCUGGAAUAUUUGGAAACUUGAACUGGGCCAGAGGCUUAAGCUCACAUCUGUCUGGAGCCUCAACUUUCUCCUCUGUAAAAUGGGCUAACACUGAAAGAACCUUGCAGAAUCUCAGCAACGUCACAGAGGACAUUGUUAGCACAGCCAGCGGGCUCCUGCUGGGCUGAGUUUGUGGGUAAUCCAAGCCUCGGCAGGUACAGUUCCUCCCUCAGCAGGGCCCAGGACACAGUGAGCAUACAAUAGACAUUAGCUGCUGUGGUGUCUUGAUUUCAAGCCCAGUGCAGAUGCAUCUGACUUACGAAACUUCAGUGACACCUGCUCUGUGCCAGACACUGAAGAUGGAGCAGUGAACAGCACUGACCCAGCCUGUCCUCCUGUUGCCUGCAGGCCAGAAGCAAGGUCUCGCUGUGUUACCCUGGCUGGAGUGCAGUGGCUACUUACAGGCAUGAUCAUAGCAUACUGCAGCCUCGAACUCCUGGACUAGAGCAGUUCUCCUGCCU